rnacentral:lncRNA from 1 species
AAGAUCUUAGGACUUUUGUUUUAAAAUCAAUUCACUCAUAUUUUGGAAAUCUUUUAGCCGAACUACGGCGUUUUGAUCCGUACCUUCCAUGGAAAGGUACGUAGGCAACGGGUUCAUCCGUUCAAACACAAAAAUAAUAAAAUUAUAUAUUCUUUUUCCCAUCCCUUCAACCAUGUUUGCACAAUAAAUAUUUCAUAAACAAAUAACAUUUCAUACAACAAGUUGUGAAAAGGGCUCCCUAGGAGUACCUAGGACAUUUUGGGUGCCUA